GUUUUUCUGUGAGCCUAAGACAUAGCAGCCAAGUUACACUACAAGAUACCUGGACACCUGGACACAAACACUUUCCUAAAGCUGAUCUGCUACAGAGAAAAUUACUGUUACUAUAUGAAUCUGAAGCAGCUGCAAUGGGAAGAAAAAUGUUGAAAACGCAGCAUGCAAAACUCAUCAAGUAUGGUCGGGUUCAUCCAUAUGAAAGGCCAUUAGCAAACAUGUGGC
rnacentral:lncRNA from 1 species